GUGCACCAGUCGCGAAACCUCCGCAAUGCUCGAAAGAGCGACGGGGGGACUCCAAGUGCCUACGCUCAGCGUAGGCUGUUCCCGAGCCUAAAAAGCUCGGGGAGUAAGGGCUGGGUAAGACGGGUGCCAGCCGCCGCGGUAAUACCCGCAGCCCGAGUGGUGGCCGCUAUUAUUGGGCCUAAAGCGUCCGUAGCCGGCUCGGUAAAUGCCUGGGUAAAUCGUCUGGCCCAACCAGACGAAUUCCGGGUAGACUGCCGGGCUAGGGACCGGAGGGAGGGAGAGGGUACUCCAGGGGUAGGGUGAAAUCAGCAAGGUGAGUUGCUGAUGUAACUUGCCUUGCAAGUCACAAUCCUGUAAUCCCUGGAGGACCACCGGUGGCGAAGGCGCUCUCC
rnacentral:rRNA from 1 species